rnacentral:rRNA from 1 species
GAUGAACGCUGGCGGCGUGCCUAAUACAUGCAAGUCGAGCGAACAGACGAGGAGCUUGCUCCUCUGACGUUAGCGGCGGACGGGUGAGUAACACGUGGAUAACCUACCUAUAAUACGGGGAUAACUUCGGGAAACCGGAGCUAAUAGCGUAUAAUAUAUUGAACCGCAUGGUUCAAUAGUGAAAGACGGUUUUUGUGUCACUUAUAGAUGGAUCCGCGCCUCAUUAGCGAGUUGGUAAGGUAACGGCUUACCAAGGGAACCAUGCUUAACCGACGUGAGGGCGGGUAGGGGGACAGUGGAGGUGAGAGACCGUACAGAGACUUAGGUGAGGCAGCAGUAGCGAAUGGAGCGAGAAGGGCGGAAGACUGACGGAGGAGCGGAGCGUUGGUGAUGAAAGUCUUCGGAUCGUAAAACGCUGUUAUUAGGGAAGAACAAAUGUGUAAGUAACUAUGCGCGUCUGGAGGGAACCUAAAAAGAAGGCCACGGCAAAUUAGUU